CUUUUGUUGAUGAGAGGCUACAUCCAUCUUGGGAGGUCACUCAUGAAAAACAAAAGGAACGGGCGAGCAAUUGCAAGUAUCAUCACAAAAUGUCUCGCAAGGGAUACAUUGGAUUGGAGACUGAAUUGAGGCAGAGAAAAAUAUUCAGGGAGGAUGAGGAAGUUGAUAGGUCAUUCCUUUGGCGUAAGGCCCGCGAAGACAAAUCCGGAAACAUCACAAAUACAGAGACUGCUGAAGUUGCUGAAAAAAUUGUAUUAUUUUAGUUUUAUUUCAAGUUCAUUCAUAAUAAGUGAAAAAAGUGUCUUCAUUGGAUAUUUAA